rnacentral:rRNA from 1 species
AGCAGUGGGGAAUUUUCCGCAAUGGGCGAAAGCCUGACGGAGCAACGCCGCGUGAGGGAUGAAGGCCUCUGGGCUGUAAACCUCUUUUAUCAAGGAAGAAGAUCUGACGGUACUUGAUGAAUAAGCCACGGCUAAUUCCGUGCCAGCAGCCGCGGUAAUACGGGAGUGGCAAGCGUUAUCCGGAAUUAUUGGGCGUAAAGCGUCCGCAGGCGGUCUGUCAAGUCUGCUGUUAAAGCGUGGAGCUUAACUCCAUUUCGGCAGUGGAAACUGACAGACUAGAGUGUGGUAGGGGCAGAGGGAAUUCCCGGUGUAGCGGUGAAAUGCGUAGAUAUCGGGAAGAACACCAGUGGCGAAGGCGCUCUGCUGGGCCAUAACUGACGCUCAUGGACGAAAGCCAGGGGAGCGAAAGGGAUUAGAUACCCCUGUAGUCCUGGCCGUAAACGAUGAACACUAGGUGUCGGGGGAAUCGACCCCCUCGGUGUCGUAGCCAACGCGUUAAGUGUUCCGCCUGGGGAGUACGCACGCAAGUGUGAAACUUAAAGGAAUUGACGG